UAGGGAAUCUUGUGCAAUGGGCGAAAGCCUGACACAGCCAUGCCGCGUGUGUGAAGAAGGCCUUAGGGUUGUAAAGCACUUUCAGUGGGGAAGAACUAGCAGGGCUAAUAACCUUGUGAAAUGACAUCACCCACAGAAGAAGCACCGGCUAACUCCGUGCCAGCAGCCGCGGUAAUACGGAGGGUGCAAACGUUAAUCGGAAUUACUGGGCGUAAAGCGCGUGUAGGUGGUUCACCAAGUGGGAUGUGAAAGCCCGGGGCUCAACCUCGGAAUUGCAUUCCAAACUGGCGGACUAGAGUACGAUAGAGGGAGGUAGAAUUCAGAGUGUAGCGGUGAAAUGCGUAGAUAUU
rnacentral:rRNA from 1 species